GAAAACGAAUGUAUUUUACCUCAUAUAAAGUCGGGAAUAUGGCCCGAAAGUUUCUACCCGAUAACCGUAAAUUAUUGGACUAUGAGGGAAAGUAAUUUUCAG
rnacentral:ncRNA from 2 species